GGAAAUCACAUCCCAAUAACCUACGUUUACUGAGCACAUCCACAUGCCAUGCCCUGCUGCAAAGCCUUAACCUACCCAUGCAACCCUCACAGCAGUCCUGCGAAGAUGAGUCAUCCCAUUUUAGAAAAAAUUAAGGCCUUGGAAACAGACAUCUACCCUAAGGAUAUGCUCCAUAGACUGAGGACACCCCAAACAGACCCGUGGGCUCAAAGACUACACUUUGAGUGAAGACACAACAGGACGGGAGGAGGACAUUCCAGAGCCAGAGAGUAUUUGUGGACACACCCCAAUUAUGGAAGCUCACAGUCCUCCCCCUCCCCCACAACUUCCUGGAGGACACAUACACCAUACUCCCUGACACCCCCCAACACACCCUUGGUAGGAGCCUCUGUAGGUAAAUGUCUCCAUGUUUCUAGAAUAUUGGGGCUGGAUUCUGACCUGUUCACCAGGAGCUAUAAAAUGCAAAUGUGUGUUUUACAUAUGCAAAUGUACAACAAAGGCAGCCUGGGGGUUGCCCCAGAGCUGGAAGUUUGGAGCCCUGGGAUGAAGAGUGAGAGGCACUUGGAUUUGACCGGGAGACCCGGGAACCAUCAGAGAAGCAGGCUCUCCCAGGGAGCAAAACACAGGUUUUGCAUUACAGAGACCUGAAGGAGAGAGGGAAGGAUGCGGAAGUGAAACACGGUGAGUCCGGCUGGAGCUGGAAGAGUGUAUUUCUCUCCGUUGGACAGAACCUUGCACUUAGACCCAGAAGUUAAGGGUCUGUCUUUGGGGACUUCCUGUGAAAAAGAGCCUCAUCUCGUUGACCAGAUUUGAGAAAGAACAUUCCUGCCCUUCUACCAAUAUCACCCUCCUCUGGACUCCUCCAGACCCAGGUCCCCUGGUCCCAGCCUUUAGCAGCCGACCCCACCCACUGAGAUCCACCCCUGCCUACCCAUCUCUUGAACUUGACUGUUCUAGUUCCAAGAGCACACCAUGCCCCUGCAUGUUUCUUGCCACUGACUGGGACGUCCUCCUUCCCUCUCGGCCCACUUUUUGAACUCUUAUUUGUCCUUAACG
rnacentral:lncRNA from 1 species